UACGGGAAGGCAGCAGUGGGGAAUAUUGCACAAUGGGCGAAAGCCUGAUGCAGCUAUGCCGCGUGUAUGAAGAAGGCCUUAGGGUUGUAAAGUACUUUCAUCGGGGAGGAAAAAACAAAACUAAUAAUUUUAUUUCUUGACGUUACCCGAAAAAGAAGCACCGGCUAACUCCGUGCCAGCAGCCGCGGUAAUACGGAGGGUGCUAGCGUUAAUCAGAAUUACUGGGCGUAAAGAGCACGUAGGUGGUUUUUUUAAAGUCAGAUGUGAAAUCCCUGGGCUUAACCUAGGAACUGCAUUUUGAAACUGAAAUACUAGAGUAUCGUAGAGGGAGGUAGAAUUCUAGGUGUAGCGGUGAAAUGCGUAGAUAUCUGGAGGAAUACCUGUGGCGAAAGCGGCCUCCUAAACGAAUACUGACACUGAGGGUGCGAAAGCGUGGGGAGCAAACAGGGAUUAGAUACC
rnacentral:rRNA from 1 species